CGACUGUAGCAUGCACGCUGCAGCAGCCUACACUUCCUCUCUGAACUUCCUCUGUAAGCUGUGUAUCAUGUCACAUCCUGUUCACUGUUCAGCUGUCUGCUUCAGGCUGAGCCAACAGCACACAUCAUCUUCAGGGAUCCCAGCACCUCCACCUCAGCACCCCCGCUGUGGUCGGACCAGCGAGGCCUGUGUGGACAGGAGGGCACAGGUUCACAUCCCAGAGCUUUGGUCUGAGCGUGAUCGUCCGGGCUGAAACGGCUGAGACGCUGAACCACAGAGAAUCUCUCAGCUUCAGCUGGAAAACGUCCCUCCGUCACUGUCCCGUCCUCCUGGUCCACAGGUCUGAGGUCUGCAGAUCACAGCUCAGCUCAGUGUUUUGGACCUCAGUUUGGACCCACCCAGCACAGUUUAUCCUGAUGUGAACUUACAUCCUGCUGUGAGGACGACCUGAGCACAUCAGCAACGUUAUGUUGAUUCACAGACACGUUACAGACCCUGACUGCCUUCAUGGGGUUUUCAGUGGAGUUUGUUUCUCACUGAGUCAUGUGUUACUGUAAAACCUCUUCAACCAAACCAGGACGCUGAGGGCCCCAUAUCAGGGCCCUCCAAAGGCCUGCAUAGACAUCAUUCAUUUCUUGUCACAUUUUUCCUUUAUCUUUGAUCAAUGAUCAUUUUAUAUUCACUCUGAAGAUGCAGCAGCUUGAGCUCACGAACCAAAGAAGCUGAGAAUUAAAACUGAGACUUUCAUCUGGACUUUGGGUGAAAACUGUUCCAGCAGUAAGUGAGACAGAUGGGGCAUUUAGUGGUUGUUCUGCAGGGGGUCCCUCAAGGACUCUGGGUGUCCCUGCAGCCCGUUUUGGGAAGUGAAACUCCACACAAAACUGCAGCCAGUUGUGAUGUGUGUUGUUUCACUUCAGGGGGGAUUAAAAUAGACAAAAAUACUGGGGCACUUGACCAUUACCUUUUACCAUUACCUGACUCACAGUCUCCCUUCCAGUCCAUCCCAAAGGUGUUGGAUGGGGUUGAGGUCAGGGCUCUGUGUGGGCCAGUCAAGUUCUUCCACACCAAACUCAUCCAACCAUGUCUUUAUGGAGCUUUGCUUUGUGCACUGGGGCAC